GAUGAACGCUGGCGGCGUGCCUAAUACAUGCAAGUCGAGCGAACGGACGAGAAGCUUGCUUCUCUGAUGUUAGCGGCGGACGGGUGAGUAACACGUGGAUAACCUACCUAUAAGACUGGGAUAACUUCGGGAAACCGGAGCUAAUACCGGAUAAUAUUUUGAACCGCAUGGUUCAAAAGUGAAAGACGGUCUUGCUGUCACUUAUAGAUGGAUCCGCGCUGCAUUAGCUAGUUGGUAAGGUAACGGCUUACCAAGGCAACGAUGCAUAGCCGACCUGAGAGGGUGAUCGGCCACACUGGAGCUGAGACACGGUCCAGACUCCUACGGGAGGCAGCAGUAGCGAAUCUUCCGCAAUGGGCGAAAGCCUGACGGAGCAACGCCGCGUGAGUGAUGAAGGUCUUCGGAUCGUAAAACUCUGUUAUUAGGGAAGAACAUAUGUGUAAGUAACUGUGCACAUCUUGACGGUACCUAAUCAGAAAGCCACGGCUAACUACGUG
rnacentral:rRNA from 1 species